AAUCGACCAGUCUCUCAGCUGGAAGGUCUGAGCAUGAGGACAAAGGUGAUUUUGCAAUCUCACCAAAGCAUUUCAAAGUUGCUUGGGUGAAGUUGAUGACUGUGUGCAUUGCAGUACUACAACAACAAAAUAGCGCAAUUACAUCUAUCCAUGGACUUUGAGAUAGAAACAAGGCUUUUGAAUUAGUAAUGGGAGGUGACUGUUUGUGCUUGAACGAAGGCUUGCCAUUGCCCUUGCUGCUGUUGUGGGACAGAGCCAGCGUAUAUGUACAGAAGUUACGAACAACACAGAAUGUUGACUGACUUUGAAGGUGCUACAAGAAAAACAAAGUAGGGUUCUGCAUUUGGUCUAGCAAAGAGUGUAUGGCUGAAAAGUUUCGGAGCUGCAUUUGGAGCCUCAUUUAUUUGGCUUGCGGGCUUGAUUUACUUCCCCAGCCGUGCCAUUUGUCUGAAAUAAUCCUCCGAAGCGAACCAUAGCAUCAUCUGAAGACCAUCUCCUCCAAGUCGCCAUCUCUUCCGAGGCCUCCUUAGAAAGUUAGAGCUUCCAAAAGUACAAGAAGAUAGUACAAUAUUACAGUCUUUUACGUAUGCCUUAUCAUUCACAUGUAUGCCUUAUCAUUCACAUCUAAAUCCAAUCCGAGCUUGAGAAUCCUGUGGGUCCUUUGAUAAAUCCACAAUGUAGAGUUUUAUUUUUAGCACAGAAGGAUUGCUCUCUUUCCUCAAGUGUCUGGUGUCCUCCAAAUCUAGGUCUUAACACUGUUUUCUACGAACCGAAGAGGCAGCUAGGGCUCAUGAUCAGUUCUCAUGUGUACUUUCAUAGGUUGUGUAAAUCAAGUCUGCAUCAUCUUCUAUACAUUGGAAUCGCAUGUGGUAAUUAUUCAUAGGUGAUGGUUAUUUUUCCCAAGUGUUCGGUAGCAAUCUCCCUCACAAAAGCUAAUAUUAGACCGGCUUCUUCCAUCAUUUCACCAAAUCCAAUCAAUUGAACAUGUUUAACGCUUGUCAAACACCAUCCCACAUUAUAUUUUGGGGAUUCCAAUUUCUUGCCCUUUCGAACAUCUUCCCUAUCUACCAAUUCGAGAUCCAAUCUCUGUAAAUUAGGAAGGUGUGCGAGCAAGUAUGGCAUGAACAACCAACCAGAAGAAUUUGCCAAAAAAAGUGACUAAAAAUUAAACUGCAUCUUCAUAAGCUACAGCUUGAUAGAGGACAAGAAAGUGUACCUUGCUGUUGGAAGCCUCUAUGAAGUUGAAAUUGAUGCCCCACAACUAGAUGUUCUUGAAAUAGAAGAAUCGGUUUUUGUGAAGUUUAAGAUUGGAAACUUCAAGCAUCUCCGAGAAGCAAGGUUUCAAAGUGGCUUCUACGAAGCAAAGAGGCAACUAGGAGAAGUGGGAGAACUUCUCGUUCUUUUGCGAGAAAUAUUUUCUACGAUUAACACAACAUCAAUAGAAACUAAAUCAUACCUUGAAAGCACCAUCUCCGACAACCAAGCAGCUAGUAGAUAUUGACGUUGUGUUAAUCGUAGAAAAUAUUUCUCGCAGAAGAAUGAUUAGUUCGCCCACUUCUCCUAGUUGCCUCUUUGCUUCGUAGAAGCCACUUUGAAGCCUUGCUUCUCGGAGAUGCUUGAAGUUUCCAAUCUUAAACUUCGCAAAAAUCGAUUCUUCAAUUUCAAGAACAUCUAUUGUGGGGCAUCGAUUUCAACUUCAUAGAGGCUUCCAGCAGCAAGGUACACUUCUUGUCCUCUAUCAAGCUGUAGCUUAUGAAGAUGCAGUUUAAUUUUUAGUCACUUUUUUUAGCAGAUUUUUCUGGUUGGUUGUUCAUGCCAUACUUGCUCGCACACCUUCCUAAUUUACAGAGAUUGGAUCUCGAAUUGGUAGAUAGGGAAGAUGUUCGAAAGGGCAAGAAAUUGGAAUCCCCCAAAAUAUAAUGUGGGAUGGUGUUUGACAAGCGUUAAACGUGUUCGAUUGAUUGGAUUUGGUGAAAUGAUGGAAGAAGAUUGAUUGGAUUUGGUGAAAUGAUGGAAGAAGCCGGUCUAAUAUUAGCUUUUGUGAGGGAGACUGCUACCGAAGAACACUUUGGAAAAAUAACCAUUACCACAUGCAAUUCCAAUGUAUAGAAGAUGAUGCAGACUUGAUUUACACGGCCUAAGAAAGUACACAAGAGAACUGAUCAUGAGGAAACACAAAUCUAUAUUGACUGUACCAGUAUUUUAGACAAAUGGCACGGUUGACAACUCUCACAUCAUUGAGGUGGUACGGCCCGUUGGAGCAUAAUAAGAGUCUAAACCGCCCCUUUUCUAGGGAUCAGGUUGAAGGUGCCUUGAAUCAAAUGUUCCCUACCAAAUCGCCAGGAGUAUAUGGCAUGCCUGCUUUGUUUUAUUAGAAGUACUGGGAUAUAGUGGCUUUCUAUGUAAAUAUUCUGAAUGAGGGAGCCAAUGUGAAGGAAGUGAACCAGACGCUCGACUCUCAUCCCGAAGGUGCACAGGCCAGUGAAGGUUACUGAGUUUCGACCAAUCAAUUUAUGCACAGUGCUAUAUAAAAUUAUAUCUAAAUCUUUGGUGAACAGAUUGAAUCCGAUCAUGCUUUUUAUUAUUUCUGAAUAUCGUAGUGCCUUUGUUCCUGGAAGGAUUAUCACUGAUAAAAUUAUAGCGGCUUUUGAGAGUAUCCAUGCUAUUAAACGGCGGGGUGGAAGUAAGCUGAAGAAGAUGAUCCUCAAGCUUGAUAUGUCAAAAGCGUAUGACCGGGUAGAAUGGGAUUUUUUAGAAGCUAUGUUCAGCAGAUUGGGUUUUAAUGCCAGAUGGGUUAACAUGAUUAUGGAUUGUAUUUCUACGGUUUCUUAUUCAAUUCAGGUGAAUGGAGAAGCUACGGGUAUGAUUGUGCCAACAAGGGGUUUGCGCCAGGGAGAUCCACUGCCCCCUUACUUGUUCCUAAUUUGUGCUGAAGGUUUAUUGGCGCUGCUGUCAAAUGCCCUCAGAUUGAAACGUAUUAAGGGGUUUCUGUGGUGCAGGGAGCUCCCAUUCUCUCCCAUUUAUUUUUUGCUGAUGACAGUUUACUUUUCUAUAAUGUGCAUUUAUCUGAAGUGUCUAAUUUGCUUCAGAUGCUCAGUGUGUACAAACAGGCAUCUGGUCAAAUGAUUAAUUUCGACAAGUCCGCUGCCUGUUUUAGUCUCAAGACUGAUCCUAUCACAAAGCAACUAAUCUCGGACAUGCUUGGGGUUAGAAUUGUGGUUUGCCAUGAGAGAUAUCUGGGGCUACCUACACUUACCCAACGAAACAAAAAUAAGAUGUUCAGCCAUGUUCAUGACAUGUGGCAGAAAUUAUCUACUUGGAAUUCAAAAUUGUUGUCAACAGCAGGUAAAGGGGUAUUUAUAAAAGCAGUGGGGCAAGCGCUACCUACUUAUACAAAAUUGUUGUCGCCUUACAUUUGCUUUUUCAAGGGCAGAGUAAAGCCCAAAGGCGAUUUACAAGAAAAGGAAACUGGAGUGCAGUGGCAGAUUUUGAAGCGAUGGGAGGUGCCCUGGGAAUGGCAAACAGUGUCCUUAACAUCACUUGCUUGUGGACUGAGGCAGUUUUAUUUUGACAGGAUUGGUAGAGACAGCAGCUGUACCGUAUUUAGGACUUCGAGUUCAAGAUUUGAGUAUAGAUGAAAAGGCAGAGAUACUGUUUCUUGAUCAAGGUAUUACAACUGCAGCUAUACUUGCAGUUUUGUAUACUGUUGCCAGCACUUUCCAACCGCUGCCUCAAGACGUUUAUCGCUGUUGUACUGAUUUUUCCAACUCCUUUUUUACUUUAUAGUAAGACAACAAAGACACAUACACACACACAGAGAGAUUCUGGUUUGUUUAAGCCUAUAUCUAGACUGUGAAGAUUUGAAGGACCCUUUCAGUCUACAGAAGGGGUGGCUUUUGUGGGCAGGGAUUGGUCUUGCUGGUGCAAUAGCUGCCAUCGCAGUGACAGAGGCUGCUGCGUCCUUGUUCAGGGGGGAGAGCCCAGAGAACGAGUUCGUACCCUAUGAUUUCUCUCUCGUUAUAAAGUGCAGCGGACACAAAUUCUAUGAUUCUUCAGGAUCAAUUCCACCAUGUAAGGAAUCAUAUAUGUGAUUUUACUUGGUUUCAGAAGGACGCUCUAGUUAGCUUGCUUCCACUGAUUGGAUCUUCAAGUGUCAGCACUGCUUGCUUGUUGGGCAUCACUGGGGUUUUGGCUCCAAUUCUUGAGGAAACUGUAUUUCGGGGGUUUUUUUUUAUGGUCUCCAUGACUGAGUGGGUACCUACACCAGUUGCUAUUGGAAUAGGUGCAGCUGUAUUUGCACUUGCACAUCUCACUCCGGGAGAGUUUCCACAGCUGUUUGUGCUAGGCUCUGCUCUGGAAUUGUCAUAUGCUCAUACUUGCAACCUUUUAACCCCCAUCACAAUACAUGCUCUCUGGAACUCAGGAGUGAUAUUGCUUCUGACCUUCCUUCAGCUACAAGGGUACGUUGUUUGUGUGCUGCAGACAACCUGAUAGGAGUAGGAGUUUCUUUUUCAUUGAUGAUACAGUGCAUUUUCUAAGGGGUCCAUAAAAGUUACAAGCGUCUGUAAGGCCUGCAAGGAUUACUUAAAAGUCGCCAUAGUUUAGAAUAUUUUUUUUCUCUGGUUUUUUGUUUCUUGGUGGUGGUUACCCAUAUCCCAGUCAUGAGUUUGUAUUAGAGACCUUGAACUACUUUCGUCUCUAACAAUGGAGACACAGAACGGAAUGGGUGGGUGGGUCAUUGAUUUGUAUAUUGUGAAUUGAAGACGAUAGUGAAGGGUUCAAUAUUAUCCUAUUUUUUGUUUUUUGUUGCA